GUCUACGGAAGUUCUACAUUAAGAGGUUACUAGUAAUGUUGAGAGUGGAACACCUGCUGGAUGAUUAGAUAUACUUUUGAUAACGUUCAUUCUCCAUGAAGUUAGCUAGCGAGGAUCUAUGAGUACGUUCAGGAAUUUUCUCAUACUCGUUCCACCAUUGCAUGAAGGUACUCUCC